rnacentral:tRNA from 1 species
GGGCCCGUAGCUCAGCUAGGUAGAGCGCCAGACUCAUAAUCUGUUGGUCGCUGGUUCAAAUCCGGCCGGGCCCA